CCAGUGCCAGAAAAUGAACGGCUGAUAUGAGUCAGCAGUUAGCAGGCUGUCCUGUGAAAUAAAAAAAAAAGUGAAGAUGUGGGAGUGGACCCCUGUGAUCCAAGACGUGGCCUCAGCAGAGAGUCUCUGGGACCUCAUCCUUCUCCUGGAUCCUUGCUGCAGGUCUCUUGCUGUUUCCAGUGCCUGCUGCUAAUGUCUGGGUCUCCCAGUUCUGUGGAGUUGCUUCUGGAGGUGGAGGUGGACUAAUCUCAUCUCCCUCUGGAGGAACCUGGGGCUAUGUGGACUGUUUGCUGUUGCCUGAUGAGUCUGUGGAUCUGUUUCUUCCACUCAGCUGCUAGCUAAGAAUAUGGCAAAUCACUUCACUUGUCUGCACCUCAGAGGUCUCCUCCCUUAGACGGUGAUUAGAACCUUGCAGAAUUAUUGUCUAGGUUAAACCAGGACAAAAAAAAUCUACUGAACUGUGUCCAGCCAGACACAACUUCCCUCCCAAGCCUUCCCUGGUCUCCCAUCAGUGUGGCACUAAUUGUACCAUUUGGAGUAUGAACAGUCCUUCAUUCAUUGCCUUCAUUUCUUGCAAGCACAGCAGGCUACGUGGGAUGGUGUUAGUGCACCUGCACUCUGGCUAGUCCAAAGAAAUCCAAGAAAGGCCUGUGAUCCAAGAUCAACAAAUAGAAGACACCACCAGAGACCCAGUAGACAUCUAGAGAAAGGCCAUGUCGGGUGGCUCCAGGUGAGCUGUCUGUUCCUUCUCCAGUCCAGAGUGGGAGUAGGAGAUGGCAGCCAGCCCUUGCAGCUGGAGGGCUAUUGGUCUGGAGCUGCUGAGGGGCCUGUCAGCACAUCACGGAAGUGUCAGCAGCAGCAGAGGUGGAAGCGCAGCUCUGUGAUGUCAUUCACAGCAGCCUGAGGAGUUCUGUUAAUCUGCUACUUAGGUGCUUUACCACCCGUUCCCCAGCAUGCUGAUGCUCUGGCCCACUAUAGGCUCCAGAUAAGAGCCAAGCAACUGUGGACUUCUGCAGCUACAGGACAAAACAAACUUUUCUUCCUGGUUUCUCGAGCUGUCCAGGAUGACGAUAUACACAUUCCAGUGGGGGUUUCUUCUGAAUCUCUCAGGCAAGCGGUUCUUGCUUGUCUUUUUCGCCUGUACAGAUGACUCCUCGAGCUGAAAGCAUCCCACCGGGAGGUUGCACACAGGAGGCCUCCUUCUCAGCAGGUGUACCUGUCAAUCUGAGAUGGGGGCAGAACUGAAUUGGAAAUAAUUUUAUUUCGACUGUAAAAUCGGACUGUAAGGAUUCCAUCUUUUGUUGGGUCCAGAUUGUGAGAAUCUUGUAGAGAAUUUCACUGUUGUGUUUAUGAACACAUGAAGUCUGUUUGCUUUCUUGGGAUGCCAUUAUAUGUUUGUCAUUUGGGGGGUAAUUCUGGUCUCAAAAAGGAGAUGGAAAGUGCUCGAUUUUCUUUAUGGAGAUCUUGAAGGGAGGGGAGUUGAUUCCUCAUUAAAUAUGUGGUAGAGUUCACCGGUGAAGGUACCUGGACCUGGGCAUUCCUUUGUGGUAGUUUCUGUAGGUUUUAAUUCAUUCUCCUUCCUUUAUAUAGAUCUAUUCAGACUAAUUCUUUUUGGGAGUGGGGGAUGGAGAGUCAUGUCAUUUCAGUCUUUCCAGGACCGUGUCCACUCCAUCUCUGUUCAUCUAAUCUACCAGAAUAUAGUUAUUCAUAUGUCUCAUUUUAAUUUCUUUUGAUUUCCAAGGUUAAGGACAGUAACCUUUCCUGCAUUUUCCAUUCCAGUAAUGAGUCUUCCCGGACCCCCACAUCAACCUAGAUAAAAGUUUAUCAAUUGAUGUUUUCAGAGAACUCGCCCUCGGCUUUGUGCUUCUUCUCUGUUAUUUGUCUCUUCCAAUUUCAUUCACUCCCUUGCUCGCCUUCAGUGUGUGCUUUCUCAUGCUCUUUGGAAGCCUAGUCUGCUCUUUUAUCCCUUCAUGUCUUACAGUGAUGGGUGGCUUACUUACGGGACAGUUUCUUUUCUCCUUUUAAACUGUGCAUCUGUCUCUCAGCACUGCUCCUAUUCCUCUAAGGGUUUAAAUAUUUGAAUCACUUUUUUCAUUCAUUUCCACAUUCUGCCUGAGUUUAUUUUUUGUGUCUUGACCUGACAGUUUUAGGUGGGUUUUAUUUAAUCUCUGCAUAUCUUUGCAAUUAAUGUUCAUAUCUCACUUUUCUGACUUGAUUUUCAUGAGUAGACUUUCUUAUUUCUGUAUGUACUCAGUGUUUUAAAUGUCUGUUUUAAAUAAUUUCCACCAGUUUCACUGGGAAGAGGGUUCAUAAAGAUGCCUUACUGUUGUGGUAUAAACCAACCACAUGGAUUGGUUUUCAGUUAGUUUGUAGGUUGACUUUUUUUUCUUUUUUUUUUUUCUUGAUAGUUUUCAACCUGGAACAUCUGAUAAUCUGUGCAUAGGUUGAUCUUCAAACACCAGCUAUUAUUUUAUAAGCUUUUUUAAAAAUACAUAGGAAUUACAAAUCU
rnacentral:lncRNA from 1 species